rnacentral:lncRNA from 1 species
AGAAAAUUUGUGGUUUUCUUUUCCCCAAGUACAGAGGAAAACAGCAAGAUCAGCUUUACACCUGGGCUGCAGUCAGCCAACCCACACACGCCCUGGAUUACACAGAAGGGCAGUUUCCCCGGCGGGUCCCCUCAGUGUGGCCGGCAUCAAGAUCUCCAGAGGAAGAGCGUGAGCCUAAGGACGCCGAGACAGAAUCUCAAGCUGCUAUUUUGGAAACUCCAAAAAAAACUCCAGAUGCUGUUCAGCAGAUGGCAGCUCUGUAUCUCUGUAAGUGAGCACCGCAGAAGGCCAUGAGAGACGCUUUCAACCAAUUCACUCAGCGUGAAUGAACAGAGGUUGCCUGUUCUGUUCGGCUGCCUGCGUUGUUCUGUGGUCGGACUAGGAGCUCACGGUCUGCCUGGUCAGCCCGGAAGCGGAGCUGGAAAGCACUGACUGAGCUCUCCUUCAGAUGUGUGCUUGCGCACCUGUUCUCUUAACUGGAGCUCACUGGAAUUUAUUGAAUGAGUUUUGACUUUUAUUUUCUCCCUGUAGUUAAUAAUUCUGAGAAUUCAAUACCCCUUUGAAAAAAACACAUGGCUCUUAAAGCUUUUUUUUUUUUCCAACUAAGAGAAAUCAAAGGAUGUAGUGUUUCCAGCUUAAAGCGAAUACGACUGUCACUUAUGUGAAAGGAAAGGAAUACAGCUGCUUGUUGAGUACUUCUAAGUGUGUCUUGUAGAAUUCGGA